CCCCGGCCGCCGCGCCUUUCCUUCCCUCCCCAGACACCCACCCGAGAAGCGGCCCCUGCGCGCUCCCGACGAGGCCCGGCCCCGGGGCGGCGGGAAGAGGGUGGUCGCCAGGCGCUGCGCACCAAAGCCCCCUGGCCAGCGGCGCCUCGGGACCGCAGGUCAAGGCCUCAAGCCGGCCUCUGCUCCCGCGGCGAGGCCCUCCCGCGCCCGGCGAUGCGGUCAGCGCCUUCCGAACGGGGCACAGUCAAAGCCUGCAGAGACGGCGGCGCCCGAUGCUUGAGGCCUUGGAUAGGCUGGGUAUGGACCAGAGGCCUGGGCGCAGGGGCCCCCGUAGGGACAGACGGGAGCACUGCCCGCAGUAGAACGGCCCCGGGCCGGCUCUGAGAGAUCCUGGAGGUAAAGGCAGGUGGCAGAGGCUGCAGGGGCAGCGGUGGGGACAGUCGGGGAUGCAUCCCCAGCCUGCAAGCCCUUGUCAAGGUGAGAAGGUGCGCGAGGGGCCUGGGAGAGGGAUUCUGCUUGAGAGGCCGUUGGUCCCAGAGGGAAAGAUCCAGAAGGUGGAGCCAGGCCCAGAGGCCCAAGGCUCCUAAAUCCAGAGUGGGGCAGGGGCCGCAGAGAAAGGGUGUGUGUGGGGCCUGGGGACCUGGAGGAAGAGGAGAGCAGAGGGGUCAGGCCUAGCUCCAGGCCCGAGGAGUGGGGAGGGGGGCAGGCCUAGGGAGGAGAGGGCAGGGGGGCAGCCAGCUCCCAGCAGAGCUGGGCUGGGCCUCUGGGGACCUUAGAGCCGGAGGCAGAACCAGGGUAGGGGGUGGGCUAUGUGCGGGCUCCCCGAGGAGGGCUCCUGCCUGUCAUAUGGGGGUCCAUCAGGGAGGAGGGGGCCUGGUCAAAGGCCCUGAGAGGCCCGAGGCUGUGGGCACUGCUGGGCUGGCAACAGACAGGGUGGGAGGGAGCCCCGGGGGUUUGGGGCCCCCUCCGUCAGCCCCGCUGGUGCAGGAUGGGGGCAGCCGUGGGCAGGGUGGCGGGGAAGUCGCACUCGUGUGGUCACGAACGCAAACACUUCUCUGGGGCAAGUCAACAGGCCAACCACUUCCGGGCAGCCCUGCAGGCCAUGGCCGGAUCUCCCAGGGCCCCGGCCCCUCCCACGGAACCCCUGUUGGCCGCCCUCUAGGGCGGCCAGCCGAGGUCCGUGCGGCCGCUCUGUCGGCCCUGCUCCUGGCUCUAGAGGCGUCGUCCAGCUGGACUGGGUUCACGGACGGGAACCUCAGACGCCAUCACCUCCCUGCCGCCUCCAGCCCGAGCUCCUUCAGGCCCCAGCUCUGUGACGGGCACCUCAGGACUGUCUGAAUGCGACUCUCUAUCCGCCCCUGGCCGUGUGCCACCUGUGUCUGCUGCCCACAGGACAGGACCGUCCCCAGCCUUGUCUCAGGCCCACCUCGUGCCUGCUGGCUGGACAGUGCGGAAAAUGGCGCUGGAACCCCCACCUGCGGGUCCCACCCACUCAGGAGGGUCUUUGAAGCUUACCUGGAGGAAAUGCAGAGGUCCCUCCACACGACGCGCUCAGACGUAGGAGACAGGCACCCCCCCGAGGCUCUCCCCCCUCCCUCCCCAGGUGCUGGGCUUUCCUUGGCGCCAAGACGGCCACUGGAACGUUGGUUCACAGGAGAGGUUCGCAGCGGGAGAUGCUCCAGCCAGGGUCAGCAGACAGGGACAGGUGUCCUGGUGACACCGUCCAGCCGGGGAUGGGCUCCCCCCCAGAAGCCACGCCCCCGGAGCUGAGAGUGGAAGUGAGGCCCAGGCCAAAGGAGAGCAAUGCGCCUCGUGGGAGGUGCUUUAUUUCAUUUAUUAACAACAUGGGGCGGGAAGGCCUGGCUGAAAGACCCUGUUAUCACAACCAGCCUCGGGCCCCUGGCUGGCUCUCUGCUCCCACUCCCAUCCCAGGAGCUGCUGGGCUGGUGAUGGGCCCAGCUUGCACCAUUCCUGCCCACGGGAGGGGGGGUGUGCCCUGGGCCCCUUGCGGGGGCCCAUCCCCAACUCCCUUGAGAGAAGGCGCCCUCUCAGCCCAACAGGGACUGGGACAGCGGGUGGUGCGCCGGUCUCCAGCCACGUCUGCUGAGGAGGAGAGGGCCUGGGGACUUUCAGGGGACCAAGCCCUUCCCAAAGGGUUCCUGCCACAGGUCUGCGAGCCCCCAAAACACCUGCCUACCUGCGGAUGGGCGGGGUGGGGGACGCCUGGGAUCUCCCCCCCCACUCCUGGGACCCUAGUCCUCGCUGGAGUUGUCGAACUCCUCCCAGUCAGACACACUCAUCACCUCGGACGCAAAGUCCGGGUCGGCCUGGCUGCGGUCAGGGGUCCCCCGGGGUGGCUCGAGCAGCAGGGACCGCGGCAGGGUGAGCACGCAGGCGGCCAGGCCUGAGAUGGAGUUGUCCAGCUGCGGCCCCUCCUCCCAGCUGUCCUUGCCCGCGUCAUAGAUGUGCACGUAGCCCGUGCGGCUGCCUCGGUUGUGUGAGCGGCCGCCCAGCACGUAGAUCCUGCUGUCGAGCACAGCGAUGCCCGGCUCCCCGUGCCCGGCUGGGAGCGGGCAGACGGAGGACCACUGCCCAGAUCUGCAGCUGUAGCAGGCCACCUGCAAGGCAAGGUGCGGGCUCUCAGGGAGCUGGGGGACCCCCAGAGGGCAGGCUCCGACCGGCUGCCGCCCUGCGCCACCUCCCCACCCCCUCAGUCGGCCUGUGGCCCCAGGCCUGUGGGUGUCUCCCCUUUGGCCUGGGGGUGCUGGCUCACUCCCCUCCACCGCUGAAGCUGAAACUCAGAAGCCAAGCGCACAGAGCACUGGGGAAGAUGCAGAUAAAAAGAAGAGACGGGCUUACUGAGUCGUGAUGACCAUCAACAUUCUCUUGGGAAGUACCUGGCGGUCCAGUGGUAAGGACUCGCACUUUCCCUGCUGGGACCCCCAGGUUCAAUCCCUGGUCAGGGAGCUAAGAUCCCACAAGACACGCGGUGUGGCCAAAAAAGAGAAAAAAAAAAUCAUCGUCUUCAAAGCUACCCUAAAUAGUAAACGUGGGAACCAGGGGAAAUGUCCAACCUACUAGUGAUCCAAGAAUUGCAAAACAACCUCAGGAACAAACCAUCAGCUGCUAACGAGCGGCCACUGGGGAAGAAAAGGCGCCGGCCGGGCGCCCACCUGGCCAGUCAGGGCGGCAACGUGCACAGCUGCGCCGAGCCACGCAGACGCCAGGGCUGCCCCUCCUGCUGCAAGGAGGCCUGGCCGCUGGGGGCCCAAGCCGGCCUCUGCGGGCAGGUAAGCGCAGGGACAUGGACACGGGCAGACGGGCGACCCUGGAUCUUCGUGGGACCCCUAAUUGCACAGCCCUUGGAAGCAGCAGGGGAUGUGUGAAGGCUCAAGAUGGGAGGGGAGCUGCCGGCUUGGAAGAGGAAGGGGCCCGAGCAGCCAGCCCAGAGGCUUCCAGAAGCCAAUAAGGGCUUCAGCUCACAGCGGCGAGGAGCAGGACCUGGCCCUACGGCAGGAGCUGAGCUCUGCUGACACCCCGGGAGACAGGACGCUGACCCUCCCUGGGCUCCGCUGAGGAAACACCCCUGGACUGUCGAGCCACAGGCUGUCAGCACACGCUCCUGCGGGUUUAUGUCCCCGCGUUUGUGGCGGUCUGUCCCAGCUGCAACAGGAAAUGAAACGCUGGAGCCUCGUGGCUCUCAGCGCUGGAGUGUCCCAUCCGGGAACAUCCAGCUAGGUGGGCUGAGGGCCAGGGAACCUGCAUUCCUGCUGAGUUCUCUCCUGAUGUGGGUACUGCUGGCCCGGGAGCCACAUUUCGAGGACCACGGCUCUCACCUCAGGAGAUGACCCAAGAUACCCGAAGAGCUCCACGGAGAAAGUGCUGCUUCGAAUGUUACCUGAAACGGCCACCACUUGGCCAACCCCAGCGUCAGCGGUCUGAUAGACUCUGCACAGCCACUGGGUGGGGUGGGGCGGCCCUCAAACGAGAGGGCACACCCACAGGCGCCAGGAGCCGGGCCGGGUGGGUGGACGUGCAGGAGGGCUAGCACUCCAAGCCAGGGGCCAGGUUUCAGGAAUUCUUGUCCCCUUUCUCCAUUUUCCCAGAGUUCUGCAAUGUGGUUAUACUAACUUUAUAAUUAAAGCUUUUACUAAUAGUGGA